UACAGGGGGGGCAAGCGUUGUUCGGAAUUACUGGGCGUAAAGGGUCUGUAGGUGGCCAACUAAGUCAGACGUGAAAUCCCUCAGCUUAACUGGGGAACUGCGUCUGAUACCGGAUGGCUUGAGUGCAGGAGAGGAAUGCGGAAUUCCAGGUGUAGCGGUGAAAUGCGUAGAUAUCUGGAGGAACACCGGUGGCGAAGGCGGCAUUCUGGACUGUAACUGACACUGAGAGACGAAAGCCAGGGGAGCAAACGGG
rnacentral:rRNA from 1 species